GGAUCAUGUCAUACAUCCGUCUGACGUAAUUCUCUGGGAACUGNACAAGACGGAUGGUCUUUGGUGCUGUCGAGAAAGCAGAGCAACGUCCCNGAAAGAGGAUUAUNUCUAUCAGUAGUGUAGGUAUGCCACAGGCUUGAGGUAGCCGCUAGGGGUUGUCCGCCCUUGACUGAAAUACGUCAACUCUAGGGGAGGUGCAGGUCAGAUUUUCGCGAUGGCGCANCUUGAGGACGAGCCUCGUGUGGGAUGAGGCCUCGGUUGUAACCAUGUCGCGGUAUGAAAGCCUUGUGUACAGCAUAGGUGUCGACAAGGCCGGAAGGAGCACGGUUAACUUCGUGCCACAGCCGCGGUAAAACAAAGGUGGCGAGCGUUGUUCGGAAUCACUGGGCAUAAAGCGGCACGUAGGCCGGCAGAGUAAGUCGGAUGUGAAAUCCCUCGGCCUAACCGAGGAACUGGGUCCGAUACUUGCUUUGGCUUGCAGGAUCAAAGGGGUGCAUGGAACUUCCGGUGGAGCGGUGAAAUGCGUGAUAUCGGAAAGAAACGCCGGCGGCUGAAAGCGGUGGCACUGGUUGAUCUCUGACGCUGAGGUUGCGAAAGCCA
rnacentral:rRNA from 1 species